rnacentral:SRP_RNA from 1 species
GCCGGUCGCGGUGGCGCGCGCCUGUAGUCCCAGCUACUCGGGAGGCUGAGGCUGGAGGAUCGCUUGAGCUCAGGAGUUCUGGGCUGCAGUUCGCUAUGCCGAUCGGGUGUCCGCGCUAAGUUCGGCAUCAAUAUGGUGACCUCCCGGGAGCGGGGGACCACCAGGUUGCCUAAGGAGGGGUGAACCGGCCCAGGUCGGAAACGGAGCAGGUCAAAACUCCCGUGCUGAUCAGUAGUGGGAUCGCGCCUGUGAAUAGCCACUGUACUCUAGCCUGGGCAACAUAGCGAGACCCCGUCUCU